rnacentral:rRNA from 1 species
CUACGGGAUCUGCAGUGAGGAAUAUUGCACUAUGGGGGGAACCCUGAUGCAGCAACGCCGCGUGGAGGAUGACGCAUUUCGGUGUGUAAACUCCUUUUAUAUGUCAAGAAAAUGACGGUAGCAUAUGAAUAAGCACCGGCUAACUCCGUGCCAGCAGCCGCGGUAAUACGGAGGGUGCAAGCGCUACUCGGAAUCACUGGGCGUAAAGGACGCGUAGGCGGGCUUGUAAGUCAGGUGUGAAAUCCUACAGCUUAACUGUAGAACUGCACUUGAAACUACGAGCCUAGAGUAUGGGAGGGGCAGAUGGAAUUAGUGGUGUAGGGGUAAAAUCCGUAGAUAUCACUAGGAAUACCUAAAGCGAAGGCGAUCUGCUGGAACAUAACUGACGCUAAGGCGUGAAAGCGUGGGGAGCAAACAGGAUUAGAUACCCGGGUAGUC